CCCUUAGAUGUUCUGGGCUGCACGCGUGUUACAAUCGGGAGUACAACAAGAUUGCAAAUCCUAGUGGAUGAGUGGUUCUUCGAAAUUUUCUGAAGACUGGGAUAGUUGAUUGAAAUUAUUCAACUCGGACGAGGAAUUCCUUGUAAUUGUAAUUCAUUAUAUUGUAAUGAAUACGUCCCUGCCCUUUGUACACACCGCCCGUCGCUCCUACCGAUUGAACGAUCCGGUGAAUUAUUUGGAGUAGCUCUGGAAGUUGCAGAACUUCCUAUGUCACGAAAUUUUGUAAACCUUAUCGUUUAGAGGAAGGAAAAGUCGUAACA
rnacentral:rRNA from 1 species